rnacentral:misc_RNA from 1 species
UACGGAGGGGGUUAGCGUUGUGCGGACUUACUGGUCGUAAAGCGCGCGUCGGCGGAGCAGCAAGUUGGGGGUGAAAUCCCGGGGCUCAACCCCGGAACGGCCUCCAAAACUCCUGGUCUUGAGUUCGAGAGAGGUGAGUGGAAUUCCGAGUGUAGAGGUGAAAUUCGUAGAUAUUCGGAGGAACACCAGUGGCGAAGGCGGCUCACUGGCUCGAUACUGCCGCUGAGGUGCGAAAGUGUGGGGAGCAAACAGG